rnacentral:rRNA from 1 species
UACAGAGGGGGCAAGCGUUAUUCGGAAUUAUUGGGCGUAAAGGGCGCGUAGGCGGCUUUGCAAGAGACGGGUGAAAUCCCUCGGCUUAACCGAGGAACUGCCUGUCAGACUGCAUGGCUUGAGACCGGGAGAGGUGAGUGGAAUUCCCAGUGUAGCGGUGAAAUGCGUAGAUAUUGGGAGGAACACCAGUGGCGAAGGCGGCUCACUGGACCGGUACUGACGCUGAGGCGCGAAAGCGUGGGGAGCAAACAGG